rnacentral:sRNA from 1 species
AUGCAUAUUUUAAGGUUUUUCUUGUCGUAGAACACACCUCGGGGUGUGUUCGACGACAAGAAAAACCUUAAAAUAUGCAU